UGGGGAAUUUUGGACAAUGGGCGCAAGCCUGAUCCAGCCAUGCCGCGUGCGGGAAGAAGGCCUUCGGGUUGUAAACCGCUUUUGUCAGGGAAGAAAUCUUCUGAGUUAAUACCUCGGGAGGAUGACGGUACCUGAAGAAUAAGCACCGGCUAACUACGUGCCAGCAGCCGCGGUAAUACGUAGGGUGCAAGCGUUAAUCGGAAUUACUGGGCGUAAAGCGUGCGCAGGCGGUUUUGUAAGACAGAGGUGAAAUCCCCGGGCUCAACCUGGGAACUGCCUUUGUGACUGCAAGGCUUGAGUGCGGCAGAGGGGGAUGGAAUUCCGCGUGUAGCAGUGAAAUGCGUAGAUAUGCGGAGGAACACCGAUGGCGAAGGCAAUCCCCUGGGCCUGCACUGACGCUCAUGCGCGAAAGCGUGGGGAGCAAACAGGAUUAGAUACCCUGGUAGUCCACGCCCUAAACGAUGUCAACUGGUUGUUGGGAAGGUUCCUUCUCAGUAACGUACUAACGCGUGAAGUUGACCGCCUGGGGAGUACGGCCGCAAGGUUGAAACUCAAAGAAUUGACGGGGUCAUAGCUGUUUCCU
rnacentral:rRNA from 1 species